GCACAUUUUCAUUCAAGCACUGAAGAUAAAGCUGAACUUUGUCCAAGGAAGCAUAACAUAAUUUACUUAUAUUUUGGGCAUUUGUUUCAUUUUUAGGUCAGAGAGAGAGAGAGAGAGAGAGAGAGAGAGAGAGACUCAUCAAACAACCUGCUACCAUUAACUCCGUUGGGGGAGGCUGUGGUUGAGCCCAAGCCCGUGCAUGGAGCACUGAAAAGGACCUGACAGUGAGCGGAGCGGGUGAGACACGGCCGGGCCCCUGACCCCAUUCACCAUCUGUACUACUGUGCCUCCUACUUUCACGACCAUGGCUGUUUGAAAGAAAACCGAACCUGGCAGCAAUGCUCCAACGCCGGUUAUUGGGCUUUGACUAUAAGCCAACUUGAUCUACUAU
rnacentral:lncRNA from 1 species